GAAAAAUAUGAGAGGACCUGUUUGUUUGGAAUUGCUAAAGAUGGAACGCCUAUUAGAUACGUAUCUUUUGGGCUGGAUUAUCAAGGCUUCAUAAUGUCUUUGACGGGAUACGAACAAUGUCUGUACUUUUCAUACUGCAUGGAGCUGGACCUUGCAACUGCAAGGAAAGAAAACGAAAAGACUGGUAAAAAUGACCAAAAUGAAGUGACUUAUAUUUUCGAUAUGGAAGACUUCGCC